UCCUCAUUUCGCGCACUCUCUCACCGGUCAGAGCUGCGAGAGAACACGCGACAUGAGGAGA
rnacentral:pre_miRNA from 1 species